UACGGAGGGUGCGAGCGUUAUCCGGAAUUACUGGGUUUAAAGGGUGCGUAGGCGGCUAUGUAAGUCAGGAGUGAAAGUUUGCGGACUCAACCGUAAAAUUGCUUUUGAUACUGCAUGGCUGGAAUUAGGAUGAGGUCAGCGGAAUGUGGCAUGUAGCGGUGAAAUGCAUAGAUAUGCCAUAGAACACCAAUUGCGAAGGCAGCUGGCUAGACCUGGAUGACGCUGAGGCACGAAAGCGUGGGGAGCGAACAGG
rnacentral:rRNA from 1 species